CAUAUUAAAAUCACACUGCUAUUCUUUGGUGGUGAAAAUAGUGGCAGUAUAUUUGUUCAACAUAUUCAGAUAUAUCAGUGUCCUGAAACCUGCCAUAUCUAUUCAUAAAUUCAUGUAUCAUUAUUAGAAAUGACACAUUUUCCAAGUAUUGCUUGUAGAUAGAAAGAUGCAUAUUACAAAUGAUAUAGUAGACUGACCAGACCAGUUUAAAAAUCAGUAUCAGUCAAAAGACAGACAGUGAGGUAUCAGAUUUAGAUUGUAUUGAGUAUACAGUCCACACCAUAUCUAUUUAGACAGUGAGGAAUCAGAUUUAGAUUUUAUUGAGUAUACAGUCCACACCAUAUCUAUUUAGACAGUGAGGUAUCAGAUUUAGAUUGUAUUGAGUAUACAGUCCACACCAUAUCUAUUUAGACAGUGAGGUAUCAGAUUUAGAUUGUAUUGAGUAUACAGUCCACACCAUAUCUAUUUAGACAGUGAGGUAUCAGAUUUAGAUUGUAUUGAGUAUACAGUCCACACCAUAUCUAUUUAGACAGUGAGGAAUCAGAUUUAGAUUGUAUUGAGAAUACAGUCCACACCAUAUCUAUUUAGUCAGUGAGGUAUCAGAUAUAGAUUGUAUUGAGAAUACAGUCCACACCAUAUCUAUUUAGCCAGUGAGGUAUCAGAUUUAGAUUGUAUUGAGUAUACAGUCCACACCAUAUCUAUUUAGUCAGUGAGGUAUCAGAUUUAGAUUGUAUUGAGUAUACAGUCCACAUCAUAUCUAUUUAGACAGUGAGGAAUCAGAUUUAGAUUGUAUUGAGUAUACAGUCCACACCAUAUAUAUUUAGACAGUGAGGUAUCAGAUUUAGAUUGUAUUGAGAAUACGGUCCACACCAUAUCUAUUUAGACAGUGAGGUAUCAGAUUUAGAUUGUAUUGAGAAUACGGUCCACACCAUAUCUAUUUAGACAUUGAGGUAUCAGAUUUAGAUUGUAUUGAGUAUACAGUCCACACCAUAUCUAUUUAGACAGUGAGGAAUCAGAUUUAGAUUGUAUUGAGUAUUCAGUCCACACCAUAUCUAUUUAGACAGUGAGGAAUCAGAUUUAGAUUGUAUUGAGAAUACAGUCCACACCAUAUCUAUUUAGACAGUGAGGUAUCAGAUAUAGAUUGUAUUGAGAAUACAGUCCACACCAUAUCUAUUUAGCCAGUGAGGUAUCAGAUUUAGAUUGUAUUGAGUAUACAGUCCACACCAUAUCUAUUUAGUCAGUGAGGUAUCAGAUUUAGAUUGUAUUGAGUAUACAGUCCACAUCAUAUCUAUUUAGACAGUGAGGAAUCAGAUUUAGAUUGUAUUGAGUAUACAGUCCACACCAUAUCUAUUUAGACAGUGAGGUAUCAGAUUUAGAUUGUAUUGAGUAUACAGUCCACACCAUAUCUAUUUAGUCAGUGAGGUAUCAGAUUUAGAUUGUAUUGAGAAUACGGUCCACACCAUAUCUAUUUAGACAUUGAGGUAUCAGAUUUAGAUUGUAUUGAGUAUACAGUCCACACCAUAUCUAUUUAGACAGUGAGGUAUCAGAUUUAGAUUGUAUUGAGUUUACAGUCCACACCAUAUCUAUUUAGACAGUGAGGUAUCAGAUUUAGAUUGUAUUGAGUAUACAGUCCACACCAUAUCUAUUUAGACAGUGAGGUAUCAGACUUAGAUUGUAUUGAGUAUACAGUCCACAUCAUAUCUAUUUAGACAGUGAGGUAUCAGAUUUAGAUUGUAUUGAGUAUACAGUCCACACCAUAUCUAUUUAGACAGUGAGUAUCAGAUUUAGAUUGUAUUGAGUAUACAGUCCACACCAUAUCUAUUUAGACAGUGAGGUAUCAGAUUUAGAUUGUAUUGAGUAUACAGUCCACAUCAUAUCUAUUUAGACAGUGAGGUAUCAGAUUUAGAUUGUAUUGAGUAUACAGUCCACACCAUAUCUAUUUAGACAGUGAGGUAUCAGAUUUAGAUUGUAUUGAGUAUACAGUCCACAUCAUA